UCCGUGCCAGCAGCCGCGGUAAUACGGAGGAUCCGAGCGUUAUCCGGAAUUAUUGGGUUUAAAGGGUUCGUAGGCGGCUUUGUAAGUCAGUGGUGAAAUUUCCUAGCUUAACUAGGACACUGCCAUUGAUACUGCAGAGCUUGAAUAGUAUGGAAGUAACUAGAAUAUGUAGUGUAGCGGUGAAAUGCUUAGAUAUUACAUGGAAUACCAAUUGCGAAGGCAGGUUACUACGUAUUUAUUGACGCUGAUGAACGAAAGCGUGGGGAGCGAACAGGAUUAGAUACCCUGGUAGUCCACGCCGUAAACGAUGGAUACUAGCUGUUCGGUUUUCGGACUGAGUGGCUAAGCGAAAGUGAUAAGUAUCCCACCUGGGGAGUACGUUCGCAAGAAUGAAACUCAAAGGAAUUGACGGGGGCCCGCACAAGCGGUGGAGCAUGUGGUUUAAUUCGAUGAUACGCGAGGAACCUUACCAGGGCUUAAAUGUAGAUUGACAGAUUUGGAAACAGAUUUUUCUUCGGACAAUUUACAAGGUGCUGCAUGGUUGUCGUCAGCUCGUGCCGUGAGGUGUCAGGUUAAGUCCUAUAACGAGCGCAACCCCUAUUGUUAGUUACCAUCGCGUAGUGGCGGGGACUCUAGCAAGACUGCCGGUGCAAACCGUGAGGAAGGUGGGGAUGACGUCAAAUCAUCACGGCCCUUACGUCCUGGGCUACACACGUGCUACAAUGGCAAGUACAGAAAGCAGCUACCUGGCAACAGGAUGCGAAUCUCCAAAGCUUGUCUCAGUUCGGAUUGGAGUCUGCAACUCGACUCUAUGAAGCUGGAAUCGCUAGUAAUCGGAUAUCAGCCAUGAUCCGGUGAAUACGUUCCCGGGCCUUGUACACACCGCCCGUCAAGCCAUGGAAGCUGGGGGUACCUGAAGUCGGUGACCGCAAGGAGCUGCCUAGGGUAAAACUAGUAACUAGGGCUAAGUCGUAACAAGGUAGCCGUACCGGAAGGUGCGGCUGGAACACCUCCUUUCUAGA
rnacentral:rRNA from 1 species